rnacentral:ncRNA from 1 species
UAAUUAGAUUUGGUUUUAUAAUAAUAAUUUGUAAAUUUUUUAUGGCAUUUAUAAAAAAAAAAUUUAUAUAUAUAUCAGAAAAUAAAAUUUAAUUAAUAAUUUCAAAAUUAUUGAAAUUUACAAAAAAACUUAGCUAAUUUUGUGCCAGCAGCAGCGGUUAGACAAAAAAGUAAUUUUUUUUAUUAAUUAUUUUUAAUAUUUAAAAAAAUAAUUUUUUUAAUUAAAAAAGGUGAAAUUUUUUAAUUAUACAUAUAUAUAAAUAUAUAAAAAAAAUUCGUAUAUAAACUAGGAUUAGAUACCCUAUUAUUAACGAGCUUUAUAUUGUUAGUAUAUAAUAUUUAUGAAAACAAAAAAUUAUGGCGGUACUUUAAGCUUUUCAGAGGAAUUUGCUCUUUAAUGGAUAAAACACCUAAAUUUUACUAAAAUUUGUUAAGUUCAGUUUGUAUACCACUAUAAAAAUAAUAUUUAAUUAUUAUUAUUAAAAAUUUCAAUUUUGAAAAAUAAAUUAAGUCAUGGUGCAACAAAAAUUUUAGGAUGAAGUGAAUUACAUUUUUUUUUAAUUAAAAUUAUUAAUGAAUAUUAAUAUAAAUUUAGGAUUUGAAAGUAAAAAUAUAAUAAAAUGGUAUUUUGAAUUAAGUUCUAAAGUAUGUACAUAUCGCCCGUCGCUCUUUUUUAAAGAUAAGUCGUAACAAAGUUAAAAUACUGGAAAGUGUUUU